UACGUAGGGUGCAAGCGUUAAUCGGAAUUACUGGGCGUAAAGCGUGCGCAGGCGGUUUUGUAAGUCAGAUGUGAAAUCCCCGGGCUCAACCUGGGAACUGCGUUUGAAACUACAAGGCUAGAGUGUAGCAGAGGGGGGUAGAAUUCCACGUGUAGCAGUGAAAUGCGUAGAGAUGUGGAGGAAUACCAAUGGCGAAGGCAGCCCCCUGGGUUAACACUGACGCUCAUGCACGAAGCGUGGGAGCAACAGG
rnacentral:rRNA from 1 species